rnacentral:rRNA from 1 species
CUACGGAGGGUGCAAGCGUUAUUCGGAAUCACUGGGCGUAAAGGGUGCGUAGGCGGUUUGAUAAGUCUGAUGUGAAAUCCUAUGGCUCAACCAUAGAACUGCAUUGGAAACUGUCAGACUAGAAUACUGAAGGGGCAGAUGGAAUUAGUGGUGUAGGGGUAAAAUCCGUAGAUAUCACUAGGAAUACCGAAAGCGAAAGCGAUCUGCUGGGAAGUUAUUGACGCUGAGGCACGAAAGCGUGGGGAGCAAACGGGAUUAGAUACCCUAGUAGUCC